CCACCAACAUAACCCUUGGGCUAUUUCCAGAAUCCUCUCCUAUCAAUUUCAUCCAUUCAUUACAGGAAGCAAAAAUGUGGCUAAACCUUCUGUCCAUACUUGUAGUCCUCAAAGGAGUCCAGUCUCAAGUGCAGUUGGUGGAGUCUGGAGGAGAUGUGAGAAGACCUGGGGAGUCCCUCCAUCUCUCCUGCCACGCCUCUGGAUUCACCUUCAGCAGCUAUAACAUGCACUGGGCGAGACAGCCUCCUGGGAAAGGACUGGAAUGGGUGUCAUGGAUAACCUAUCAUUCUGGCACAAUUACUUACUCUGACAAAAUGAAGGGACGCUUCACAGUCUCCAGGGACAAUUUCGAAAGCCAGCUGUAUCUGCAAAUGAACAGCCUCAAAACCGAAGACACAGGAGUCUAUUACUGUGCAAGAGGCACAGUGAGAGGAAGUGAAUCUGAAGCCAAACAAAAACCUUCUUUCAUUCACUCUUGA